AUUGAACGCUGGCGGCAGGCCUAACACAUGCAAGUCGAACGAGUGGCGGACGGGUGAGUAAUGUCUGGGAAACUGCCUGAUGGAGGGGGAUAACUACUGGAAACGGUAGCUAAUACCGACUACAAUCGGAUGUGCCCAGAGGGGUUUAGCUAGUAGGUGGGGUAACGGCUCACCUAGGCGACGAUCCCUAGCUGGUUAGAGAGGAUGACCAGCCACACUGUAACUGAGACACUGUCCAGAUUCCUACGGGAGGCAGCAGUGGGGAAUAUUGCACAAGGGGCGCAAGCCUGAUGCAGCCAUGCCGCGUGUAUGAAGAAGGCCUUCGGGUUGUAAAGUACUUUCAGCGGGGAGGCGUUACCCUCAGAAGAAGCACCGGCUAACUCCGUGCCAGCAGCCGCGGUAAUUC
rnacentral:rRNA from 1 species